ACAUGGGUAUAUUGCAAGAUGCCGAGGUUCGAGGUAGGAAAGAUCCCAACAACCAGUUUCAAGGGCCCUAGCCUCAGAAAACUGCAUCAAUGUCUUCUGAACGGCCAUCAAGCUCAAAGCCCUGCUCGUUUCUUCAGGAAAGCUUAUUAACAAAUACAUUCAGCACAGCUUGCAGGAAGCAGCAAGUUUCAUGUAGAGUACCACGGCGUCAUCAUGCAAGUGUCUGUCUGAGCAUGGCCAGUAAGAGAACUGGUGGUUUCGGUCCAUGAAAGAGCUGGGGUUCCUGGAAGUUUUUGGAAUGCCUGGCCACGACAUUGGUUGGAGUCUGACUGGGCCCCAUGCAGAAAAUGCCACACUCUGCUGAGCUGACAUCUUUGUGUUCUGCUAGGAGGCCCAGGAAUUCAUAAAAGAAAAGAACUAAGGCACUUGAAAAUUUCGAAGGUAAAACUGUCACCCGUGCAAAUCAAAUCAAAAUUAAUAAUGUUUUUCUGACUCAAUGCAAAAGGCGAAAACACCAAUUUAGUUGUUGCUGCGGCUGCUUUUCAUGC
rnacentral:lncRNA from 10 species